rnacentral:sRNA from 1 species
GCGGAGGAAAAGAAACCAACAGGGAUUGCCCCAGUAACGGCGAGUGAAGCGGCAACAGCUCAAAUUUGAAAUCUGGUCCCCUCUGGGGGCCCGAGUUGUAAUUUGAAGAGGAUGCUUCUGGCGAGGCGCCGACCGAGUUCCCUGGAACGGGACGCCAUAGAGGGUGAGAGCCCCGUACGGCCGGACGCCGAGCCUCUGUGAAGCUCCUUCGACGAGUCGAGUAGUUUGGGAAUGCUGCUCAAAAUGGGAGGUAAACCCCUUCUAAAGCUAAAUACCGGCCAGAGACCGAUAGCGCACAAGUAGAGUGAUCGAAAGAUGAAAAGCACUUUGAAAAGAGAGUUAAAAAGCACGUGAAAUUGUUGAAAGGGAAGCGCUUGCGACCAGACUCGCGCCCGUCGGAUCAGCCGUCCCUCGCGGGCGGCGCACUCCGGCGGGCUCGGGCCAGCAUCGGUUCGCCCGGGGGGAGAAAGGCGGCGGGAAUGUGGCUCUACGGAGUGUUAUAGCCCGCCGCGCAAUACCACCGGGCGGACCGAGGACCGCGCGU